AGAGAUCCUCUUGCCUCAGCCUCCCGAGUAGCUGGGACUACAGACAACUCUCUUUUUCUCCCUCCUCCCUCCUAAUGGAAAUUCACCUUGCAAAACAGGACUGUGCCUGGUGAGAGCUGCUUACAACAUCCACACUUAGGACUCUGUGGAGAGAGUUCUCAGCUGGUGGUGAGGCUGCACUUAUUUCACUAGCUCCUCAGGGGCAGAACUCCCUCAGCUUCUCAGCAAAUCAAAUGAAGGAAGCUCCGGGUCCUUACAAGUUCAGAAACAGGGUGGUUUGUUUUGCUUCCUUUUGGAAUGAAAUAAAAUGCUCAUUUAAUUAAA